CCCUUAGGUGUUCUGGGCCGCACGCGCGCUACACUGACGGAGGCAGCGAGCAUGUCCUUCGCCGAGAGGUGUGGGGAAUCUUGUGAGUCUCCGUCGUGCUGGGGAUAGAUGGUUGCAAUUGUCGAUCUUGAACGAGGAAUUCCUAGUAAGCGCGAGUCAUCAGCUCGCGCUGAUUACGUCCCUGCCCUUUGUACACACCGCCCGUCGCUACUACCGAUUGGAUGGCUUAGCGAGAAUUUUGGAUCGGAGCCCGGGUGGUCGGCAACGGUCGCCCGGGAGAUCUGAGAAAUCAUUCCAGCUUGGUCAUCUAGAGGAAGUAAAAGUCGUAACA
rnacentral:rRNA from 1 species